rnacentral:rRNA from 1 species
AGAGUUUGAUCCUGGCUCAGGAUGAACGCUGGCGGCGUGCUUAACACAUGCAAGUCGAACGAAGCAUAAGAAACGGAUUUCUUCGGAAUGAAAGAUUUUAUGACUGAGUGGCGGACGGGUGAGUAACGCGUGGAUAACCUACCUCAUACAGGGGGAUAACAGUUAGAAAUGACUGCUAAUACCGCAUAAGCGCACAGAACCACAUGGUUCGGUGUGAAAAACUCCGGUGGUAUGAGAUGGAUCCGCGUCUGAUUAGCUAGUUGGUAAGGUAAUGGCUUACCAAGGCGACGAUCAGUAGCCGACCUGAGAGGGUGAUCGGCCACAUUGGGACUGAGACACGGCCCAGACUCCUACGGGAGGCAGCAGUGGGGAAUAUUGCACAAUGGGGGAAACCCUGAUGCAGCGACGCCGCGUGAAGGAUGAAGUGUUUCGGCAUGUAAACUUCUAUCAGCAGGGAAGAAAAUGACGGUACCUGACUAAGAAGCCCCGGCUAACUACGUGCCAGCAGCCGCGGUAAUACAUAGGGGGCAAGCGUUAUCCGGAUUUAUUGGGUUUAAAGGGUGCGCAGGCGGGGAUUUAGGUCGGCGGUGAAAUUUCGGGGCUCAACCUCGAUAGUGCCGUUGAAACCGUUUCUCUUGAGUGCGGAUGAGGUAGGCGGAAUUUGUGGUGUAGCGGUGAAAUGCGUAGAUAUCACAAGGAACACCGAUUGCGGAGGCAGCUUACUAAACCGUUACUGACGCUCAUGCACGAAGGCGUGGGGAUCAAACAGGAUUAGAUACCCUGGUAGUCCACGCAGUAAACGAUGAUUACUUGCUGUUUGCGAUACACAGUAAGCGGCGUAGCGAAAGCGUUAAGUAAUCCACCUGGGGAGUACGUUCGCAAGAAUGAAACUCAAAGGAAUUGACGGGGGCCCGCACAAGCGGAGGAACAUGUGGUUUAAUUCGAUGAUACGCGAGGAACCUUACCCGGGCUUGAAAUGCAUUCGACGGGGUCGGAAACGGCCUUUCCCUUCGGGGCGGAUGCGUAGGUGCUGCAUGGUUGUCGUCAGCUCGUGCCGUGAGGUGUCGGCUUAAGUGCCAUAACGAGCGCAACCCCUGUCGUCAGUUGCCAUCGGUAUAAGCCGGGGACUCUGGCGAGACUGCCAUCGUAAGAUGCGAGGAAGGUGGGGAUGACGUCAAAUCAGCACGGCCCUUAUGUCCGGGGCGACACACGUGUUACAAUGGGCGGUACAGCGGGAAGCUACCCGGCGACGGGGAGCCGAUCCCGAAAUCCGCUCACAGUUCGGAUCGGAGUCUGCAACUCGACUCCGUGAAGUCGGAUUCGCUAGUAAUCGCGCAUCAGCCACGGCGCGGUGAAUACGUUCCCGGGCCUUGUACACACCGCUCGUCAAGCCAUGGAAGUCGGGGGUACCUGAAGUUCGUAACCCUUCGGGGAGCGACCCAGGGUAAAACCGGUGACUGGGGCUAAGUCGUAACAAGGUA